rnacentral:lncRNA from 1 species
CAUCUUCGAAUCUAUUUUUCUUUUUUCUUCUUUUCUUUUAUAAUCGAGUUGUAGAGCUAAAAUGCAUCUUUAUUUUAACUUCUUGUAGUCAUUAUGUGGAUAUCUUAGUGGUCAAAAUAUGAAUAUAUUAUGCAUGGACGAACCAUGUGAAACAUAUCAUAUUUUCUAUAUUAUGAUCUAUCAUUGUUCAGUCACAAUUUGGUUCUUUUGAGAUGUUUCAUUGUUAUAGUAUACUUAACAAUCGCUACAGUUUCAGUAAAUAUCCCGAUUUUUAUUUUUUUCAUAAUAAAAUCUACUUAGGCAUGCAAAGUAU